GCCUGGCUGGCUCAGUUGUAGAGCAUGUAAUUCUUGAUGUUGGCAUUGUGGGUUCAAGUCCCACGUUGGGCA
rnacentral:tRNA from 1 species